rnacentral:sRNA from 1 species
AGAAAUGGGGAGUAAAGUUGGAAUAUAAUGUUGUCUUUCUUCAGCUUAUGAUACACAGCACCUGUAAGGAUUCUUUGAAGAUUAAUCCAACCAAUUCCUGUUCCUCCACUGAAAUGGGAGUUUUUGGUCCUUUUCACUUGUCUCAACAGCAUGAAUUGUCCUAUUAUCCUGUGAUUUCCUAGGAACUUGGACCCCGAUUGGCUGCAAUGCUGAACUUUAAUCUUCAGCAACUCUGUGGCCCCAAGUGCCGUGACCUGAAAGUUGAAAACCCUGAGAAAUACGGCUUUGAACCAAAGAAGCUGUUGGACCAACUGACGGAUAUUUACUUACAGCUGGACUGCGCUCGGUUCGCGAAAGCCAUUGCUGACGACCAGAGAUCCUACAGUAAGGAAUUGUUUGAAGAAGUUAUUUCAAAGAUGCGGAAGGCAGGGAUCAAAUCCACAAUAGCGAUAGAAAAAUUUAAGCUGCUCGCCGAGAAAGUAGAGGAGAUAGUGGCCAAGAAUGCACGCGCAGAAAUCGACUACAGCGACGCUCCUGAUGAGUUCAGAGACCCUCUGAUGGACACCCUCAUGACAGACCCCGUGCGGCUGCCCUCCGGCACCAUCAUGGACCGCUCCAUCAUCCUGCGGCACCUGCUCAACUCCCCCACGGACCCCUUCAACCGGCAGACGCUGACAGAGAGCAUGCUGGAACCAGUGCCAGAACUGAAAGAGCAGAUUCAGGCGUGGAUGAGAGAGAAACAGAACAGCGAUCACUAAACCGUUCCGCCGCCCACCCUCUGCUAGACACAGCCAAGGCCAACAAGGCAAGCAGAAGCA